rnacentral:lncRNA from 1 species
AGCCCAUCUGCACCCAGGCACUCACUAAAACGGUGUGUUGCUCCACACCGCCUUGUUUUGCUUGUUGGCGCGCUCUCGGGGUUCCAACCGAUCCAAGAGCCUUGCAGAAAGCAUUAACGUGCUUUUCUCUUUGGCGGAGUUUCUCUCUGCUCUGAUCUUGGAGACAUCCCUCUGCCUAGUGGAAAGAUAAGGAAUACAGAAAGAAUGCAAGGAGAUAGACCAACAUGAGAUGCUCCUUCAUGCACUCAAGAGGACGAUGUUGCAGGAAGAGCUAGUCUUUCAGGCUGGGCUGGUGACCUGAGAAAGAAUGUCCAGCUUUUCUUCUCCACUUGGCAUAUCAACAGCCAGGCGUGGAAGACUAAAACAGGAAAUGUUUAUAAAAACUGUUCAGCGGUUCACCAACAAGAAGUGGUAAAGUAGCAAAAAUGGGGACGGAGAUGCCAGGAGGAAAGAUGUUGGGGUAAAGUGGGAAAAUGGGAACCUGAAGCCAGGAGGUCAAGCCAAGCCAACAGGUGUCCUGUUUUUCAAUGAGGAGGUGGAGCACAGGAUGGAUGGAAAUUUUCCACAGUCACAGAACUAAUAAGUGGUGCUGAGGACUCAAACCCAGGGAAGCCCACUCUAGAACCCAUGCUGGUCAUCCAUAUCCCCAAGGCCCUGGUGAGAACACAGCAUAGCAGAUGGCUUCGGUCAUCAGGACGUCCAUUACAUCCAAAGGGAAGACAGCUUGUAAUGUUUCAAAAGCAAAAGUCCCCUACCAGCCAGUGAAGCUAUCUGAUUUCUCAGUAUCUUACACCCAGUGACACCAUCUGCCCUCAAAACUUAAAAAAAAAAAAGGUAAACAUAAACACAUAACAGCAGCAGCAAUAAUUAAAGAUGAGAUGAGAACAAUUAAGAAAAAAGGAAAGGUCUCCUGUGACUUUUAUUUUUAGGGAAACAGAGAGGAAGAAGAAUGAUUUUUCUUUUGAUGACUCUAUAUCCAACUCUGAGGUUUGAUUAAAGAAAUGACCUUGAACCACAGCAAAGAAAAAUAAAAGACAAUUUCCAGUAA